rnacentral:rRNA from 1 species
UGGGGAAUAUUGGACACUGGGCGAAAGCCUGAUCCAGCCAUGCCGCGUGUGUGAAGAAGGUCUUCGGAUUGUAAAGCACUUUAAGUUGGGAGGAAGGGCAGUAAGCGAAUACCUUGCUGUUUUGACGUUACCGACAGAAUAAGCACCGGCUAACUCUGUGCCAGCAGCCGCGGUAAUACAGAGGGUGCGAGCGUUAAUCGGAUUUACUGGGCGUAAAGCGUGCGUAGGCGGCUAAUUGAGUCGGAUGUGAAAUCCCCGAGCUUAACUUGGGAAUUGCAUUCGAUACUGGUUAGCUAGAGUGUUGGAGAGGAUGGUAGAAUUCCAGGUGUAGCGGUGAAAUGCGUAGAGAUCUGGAGGAAUACCGAUGGCGAAGGCAGCCAUCUGGCCUAACACUGACGCUGAGGUACGAAGGCAAGGGGAGCAAACAGG